UUAAUCCCAUCAUUUUUUAACUCUCUAUUUAUCUUCUUUGUUCCCCACUCUGUUUUCCAAAACAUUUCACCAAACAAACACCAAGCCACAAUCUCUCUUCAAACUUUCUUCUUUCAUCCUUUUAACUUCAUCUAUCUCAAUUUAUGCCUCUUUUCUAUUUCUUUCUUGUUUAGUCAAAGAAAGAUAAUAUAUAUUUAUAUAAGCUUAUAUGUCCUUUAUAAAGCCCCUCAAGCUCCCAAGUUUCAUGGAUAAUCACUGUCAAAGGAAUCAAAACAAGGGAGGAAGUUGGGUUCUGAUGUAGAUUACAUGUUGGAUUAUGUUUAGAAGAGAAACUAUAGUGAACAAUUUACAGGCGGGGUCUCAACUAAGUAGGAUUGCAAUAUGGAAUCUUACAUGUGGCAUCUUACUUAAAUUAAAGACAGGAUUCAAGUUAAGGAAGAUUGCUACUAGAUUUGAGGAAAUUGUGACAAGGAAUUUGGGAUCUACAACUAAAGACAAGUCCAAAAGAGCUUAGAAAAGGGUCCCCAUCUUGUUGUUGUUGGUAAGGCAACCUAAUGUUUAUAUAAAAAAAAAUUAUCGGGAUGUUAUAUUUGAAUUAUUGAUGAGUAAUGAAGUAAAUGACUCUAUAUGUUGUUGUUUCAGUUAUUGUUAUGGGUGGGUGUAGGUAAGAAAGUUUUGGCUCAACUCAUUCACAAUAUCGAGAGGAUGAAAUUUGGAUCUAAAAUAUAAGUAUGUGUUUUUGAUAAGUUGAUAUCCUCCUAUAAAUUAAUUAAUUAUAUAUUCUCGAAAUAAGUUUUUAAUCACUUUAGAUGAUGUGUGGAAUGAGAGAUAUAAUAACUAAUAGUUUUUGUCCAGGCUUAUAUAUUUGAAGGAGUUGUUACACGAUGAUUGUUUGUCCUUAUCGCAAGACAAGAAAUAGUGCAAAGGAACAAGUAACAAGUAUGAGUCGUGUAACAUCUUCCUUCACAUUACAACAAUGUCUUGCUUACUGUGCAAUAUUUCUAAAAGAUUUUAAAUUUAAUAAGAAUGAGUGUAGUAUAUUAAAGACGAUAAAGAUAUUUAUAGCAAUUGAAAAAAAAUUUGUAUGAAAAACUUAGCUACUUAAGUGGUAGGUUUCAAAAUUCAAGAUCAUAUAGAGCUAUCAAAUCAUAUUGGAGGCCUAAGUACCUUUUAUAUUGUGUAGGAAAAUCAAUCAUCUAGAUACAUUUAGAAGGUUAUGGCAUCAGACAUGGAUAACUUGAUAAAUUUUCAAUUCUUUUAAGUUAUGGAAAGGGCAAUUGAUAUUGGAUAAUAUAAGGAUAACAGGAUGGAAGGAGAGCUUUGGAUAAUAGGAUUGAUCAAGGCAAUAAGUGUUCAAGAUGUAGAAUUUACCAACCGGAUGGAGAAUCAAGACGUUAAAUAUUGGAAUUGAAAGGCUUGUGAUCACAAUCUCAUUUCACCUCCUGUAGCCUGUUAACAUAAUGAGGAAUGAGUGAACCUGAUGAUCUUUAGCCUGAGAAUGAUGAUGAUGCCAUGUCCGACUAGUAAAAACCGAGCUUGCAAUAAAACUAGCAAUGCAGAGUGCAAGAACCGAUUUUCCUCAAUUGAGCAGCUUUCCUGACUUCAUUUUCUUGGACUCGUUGUCCAUAUGCCAAGGGCCAUAACAUCAGUACUAAAUAUUGCAAUCUCUUGACCAGCUUUUAUGUCUUCUUAAUGAAAGUUGAUAAAAAUAAUCAACUUGUAAUAGUUGAGGAACGGCCUUUUUGACAAUGAAAUACUUUAAAUUAUAAAGGAAUAUGUUGUAUAAUUUAUAUAUUAUUGAUAUUGUGAUAACUCAGAAUUGAAUCAUAUCAUCUGCUUUGGAUUUUAAA